UUUCCGUUGGUGAACCAGCGGAAGGAUCAUUACAGAGUUCAUGCCCUUCGGGGUAGACCUCCCACCCAGUUUAAUUACUAUUGUUGCUUUGGCAGGCUGCCCUCACCAUGGGGCGUCCGGGUUCCGCCCGCGUCUUGCCUGCCAGAAGCCCCCUAAUUCUGUGUUCUGUGUCGUCUGAGUACUAUAUAAUAAGUUAAAACUUUCAACAACGGAUCUCUUGGUUCUG
rnacentral:misc_RNA from 1 species